GACGAACGCUGGCGGCGUGCUUAACACAUGCAAGUCGAACGGAAAGGCCCUGCUUUUGUGGGGUGCUCGAGUGGCGAACGGGUGAGUAACACGUGAGUAACCGCCCUUUACUUUGCUAGAACUUCAGGAAACUGGGGCUACUACCGGAUAGGAGCUCCUGCUGCAUGGUGGGUGAUGGAAAGUUUCGGCGGUUGGGGAUGGACUCGCGGCUUAUCAGCUUGUAGGUGCGGUAGUGUCUUACCAAGGCUUUGACGGGUAGCCGACCUGAGAGGGCGACCGGCGACAUUGGGACUGCGGUACGGCGCAGACUGGUACGGGCGGCAGCAGUCGAGAGUAUUACACAGUGGGCGGACGUGUGAUGCAGCGACCCCGGGUGCGGAAUGACGUGUUUCGGGUUGUAAACCGAUUUCGACGGUGAUGAAGACAGAGUGACGGUACCGGGUCAGAAAGCACCGGCUAACUACGUG
rnacentral:rRNA from 1 species